CGGAGGAUCCAAGCGUUAUCCGGAUUUAUUGGGUUUAAAGGGUGCGUAGGCGGCUUAUUAAGUCAGGGGUGAAAGACGGUGGCUCAACCAUCGCAGUGCCCUUGAUACUGAUGAGCUUGAAUGAACUAGAGGUAGGCGGAAUGUGACAAGUAGCGGUGAAAUGCAUAGAUAUGUCACAGGACACCGAUUGCGAAGGCAGCUUACUAUGGUUUUAUUGACGCUGAGGCACGAAAGCGUGGGGAUCAAACAGGAUUAGAUACCCUGGUAGUCCACGCCCUAAACGAUGAAUACUCGCUGUUAGCGAUAUACAGUUAGCGGCUAAGCGAAAGCGUUAAGUAUUCCACCUGGGGAGUACGCCCGCAAGGGUG
rnacentral:rRNA from 1 species